UACAGAGGGUGCAAGCGUUAAUCGGAAUUACUGGGCGUAAAGCGAGCGUAGUCGGUUAUUUAAGUCGGAUGUGAAAUCCCCGGGCUCAACCUGGGAAUUGCAUUCGAUACUGGGUAGCUAGAGUUCGGCAGAGGGAAGCGGAAUUUCGGGUGUAGCGGUGAAAUGCGUAGAUAUGCGGAGGAACACCGAUGGCGAAGGCAAUCCCCUGGACCUGGUACUGACGCUCAUGCACGAAAGCGUGGGGAGCAAACAGG
rnacentral:rRNA from 1 species